rnacentral:rRNA from 1 species
UAAGGAGGAUGCGAGCGUUAUCCGGAUUUAUUGGGUUUAAAGGGUGCGUAGGCGGCGAGUUAAGUCAGCGGUAAAAGCCCGGGGCCCAACCCCGGGACUGCACUGGAAACUGCCGGGCUGGAGUUGGAGAGAAGUACGCGGAAUGCGCGGUGUAGCGGUGAAAUGCUUAGAUAUCGCGCAGAACCCCGAUUGCGAAGGCAGCGUACCGGCUCCACACUGACGCUGAGGCACGAAAGCGUGGGUAUCGAACAGG